rnacentral:misc_RNA from 1 species
CUCCUCUCUUGUCUGGACCAUCGCGGUCGUUGUCAGCUUGAUCCGGAUUGUAGACGAGAGGGCAAUUGUCCGCGUUGUUCAGGAUACCAUCGUUGUCAGCGUCCUGAUCGCAAGCGUCUCCGUAAUCAUCGCCAUCCGCAUUUUCUUGACCGCUGUUCGGCGUAUUUUUACAGUUGUCCGCGCGACAAGUUUUCUCGGUGCAAGGGAGUUCCUCGUCGGGGAUACUGUCGAUGUCCGUGUCGGGUCCGCAGAUAUGCCCGUUUCCGGCCCAUCCGACUUCGCACUGCGAAAUUAUCAGAGGCUGUAUAGAUGACGACAGGAUAAUUGGUGGCAAUUGCAGCGAGUCAGGAGAACUAUAGUUAAUUUAUUUUCGUCUGCCAAACGGUCGGUGAAAAUUGGUAACGGCGUGCUCUGAGAUGGUGUCUAAAGUUCCAAAGGACUCAGUUUACCCUGCAGGAGUAGUGCGCCCUUCCUAGGAAAAUGCAACCUGCGUUAUCGUCGCAAGUGGUCACGCCGUCGCGGCAAACAACGCCGCGAGGACGGCAUCCCGUGGUCUGAUUACCCACGUAACCAGACCUGCACGGCCCGCAUCUGAACGAGCCCUGAAAACGA